AGAGUGGCUACAUCACAGAGCCUCUGACCCUGAGAUCCACCCCAGAACUUGCCAGUCAAGAUGAAAAACUUCUUCUAAUGGAAUCCAGCUUGAAAGCUACUCAAGAGCAGCUAACUGAGCAAAUAGCAGAAACAGUUCGCCAAGAACAGAACAGUAGAAAACCCCAGGCAGAGCUGAAGACAGUGACAGAAGGGAUUAUUGCUUCUGAAGAAGAAAAAAAAUGAUUACAAGAUAUGCUUCAGCCAAAUAUAUUGGGCUUACUCUAAGAAAUAGUAACACGUCAUGAAAUUUUUCUUG
rnacentral:lncRNA from 1 species